rnacentral:lncRNA from 1 species
GUGGAUCACAGUUGGAAGCUGAACAAUUAGAUAGCUGUGGGUGACAGAUCAUGGUGCAGGAACAAAAGGAAAAGCAAAAGGUUUGGAGAAUUCUUCAAAGGUACAAUUUCUAUCACAAUUUAUAUCUAAACACAAAGGGAUUCUCGAUAGGAAUUGAAAUUCGUUUAAUUUUUCGCUAUGCAUGUCAAGUAGAUUCCCAACAUUCCUCACUUGAGGAGAAAAUCAAGAACAGCUAACUUAUUUUGAUAGGAAAAAAUUUAUCUAGUAGCUUUAUAAUUUGGGGAGUUGGGAAAUCAAUUUUCCUGCUAGACAUUAAUUACUACUUAUGAACACAAAUUAUUGAGUGAUGAUAAUUGAGUGAAAAGAAUAAUUUUGGCGGAUUGUGUAUCUCUCGAGCGAAGUAAGGACAUAUUUGACCACUCUGGGUCGGGACUAAUCCCAUCAUGAACUUAAUAUGUUAGCAUGGUUUCACACACACACGCAUCGGGUAUGCAAUUAACAGGUAAAGGUUGAGUUCAUUCUUGCACUAAUGAAUUUUUUUGAAACCAAUUACUUAGUCCAAUCUAGAGAAACGGCAGGUUAUUAGGCCAUAUUUGUUUAGAGUUAUGUCAUUAUCCUGUUUGAGGAUAAACAAUAAUUCAAGUUUGGGGGGUUUGAUAAAUGUGUUUUUACACACUUAUUUAGGUCACAAACAUGACUUAAUUACAAGCAAAAUGGUUGAAUUGUGGCCUAACGUCAUUUCAUUUGUUACUUGUAGGGAAUAUUGAUGGACACAGUGGAAUUCAGAAGAAAAGAUGCGAAAAAGGACUAAAUUAAAGCAAAGUGAAAGAUCAUGGACCAAAGUGCAAAUACCCAAAAGAUGGCCCGAUGGAUAAAUCAAGACAUUGAUUGAGGUAAGUACCAAUUGGGGACCAUAAUUGGCAAUGGAAAUGAGAAGAUACAAGAAAAGAGGCCAAGAAGAGAGUGAAAAAAAUUAGAGGACCAAAAUGGCAUAAAUUGAAAAUUUCACCCUAUGCGGUCGCAAGUGAAGAAGUAGGGAAAUUUUUGGCCAAAGUUUUACACCUAUGCGGUUGCAUAGGCAAGGUUCGGGGGAAAAUUCUGCAGUUUCCUUUUUACGUUAUAACUCCAUUGGAACGCGAUAUAAAUGCCCAGAAUCAUCAAAUUUCGAGGGAGAAUGCAUUGGGAGGCAAAAAACUACAUCUUGGAGAGGAUUUUGAGCGAAAGUAACGAAGAAUUGCAUGAAGAUCAUCAAGAUUUCUCAAGAAUUCAUAACCCGGUGAUGCUUUUUAAUCAAUUUAUCAUGUAUUCUGAUUUUUUCUCUAUGUUAGGCUAGAUUUUCAUGUACUAAGAGAUCGAUAUACUGAUUAGGCCCAAAAAAUAACGCAGUGAUUGUAGUGCAUAUUUAGGGUGUCGUAUCCACAGGGAGAUGAAAAAUUUCUCAAAGGAUCAAACAAACUAGAGUUUUUGUAAAUUAUGUGAAAAUAAUUUGUCACUUGGAAUAAAAGUUAAUUAUAAAUAUUGCGAAAUUAGUGAAGCGUCGG